AUUGAACGCUGGCGGCAUGCCUUACACAUGCAAGUCGAACGGCAGCAUGAUCUAGCUUGCUAGAUUGAUGGCGAGUGGCGAACGGGUGAGUAAUACAUCGGAACGUGCCCUGUAGUGGGGGAUAACUUGUCGAAAGAUUAGCUAAUACCGCAUACGACCUGAGGGUGAAAGUGGGGGACCGCAAGGCCUCAUGCUAUAGGAGCGGCCGAUGUCUGAUUAGCUAGUUGGUGAGGUAAAGGCUCACCAAGGCGACGAUCAGUAGCUGGUCUGAGAGGACGAUCAGCCACACUGGGACUGAGACACGGCCCAGACUCCUACGGGAGGCAGCAGUGGGGAAUUUUGGACAAUGGGCGAAAGCCUGAUCCAGCAAUGCCGCGUGUGUGAAGAAGGCCUUCGGGUUGUAAAGCACUUUUGUCCGGAAAGAAAUGGCUCUGGUUAAUACCUGGGGUCGAUGACGGUACCGGAAGAAUAAGGACCGGCUAACUACGUG
rnacentral:rRNA from 1 species